GUAAGGAAUAUUGGUCAAUGGACGCAAGUCUGAACCAGCCAUGCCGCGUGGAGGAUGAAGGCCCUCUGGGUUGUAAACUUCUUUUAUGGGGGACGAAACACUCUUAUUCUUAAGAGCUUGACGGUACCCCAGGAAUAAGCACCGGCUAACUCCGUGCCAGCAGCCGCGGUAAUACGGAGGGUGCAAGCGUUAUCCGGAUUCACUGGGUUUAAAGGGUGCGUAGGCGGGCUUGUAAGUCCGUGGUGAAAUCUCUGAGCUUAACUCGGAAACUGCCAUGGAUACUAUGGGUCUUGAAUACUCGGGAGGUGAGCGGAAUAUGUCAUGUAGCGGUGAAAUGCUUAGAUAUGACAUAGAACACCAAUUGCGAAGGCAGCUUGCUACAGAGUUAUUGACGCUGAGGCACGAAAGCGUGGGGAUCAAACAGGAUUAGAUACCCCAGUAGUCC
rnacentral:rRNA from 1 species